CAGAUUGAAUCACGAUGAAUGGUUCAAAUUCAUUUCCUAUUUAAUCGCGAUCAGACGGUCCAGACUAAAUGCGAUGGAUGGCUCAAAUCAAAAGUGGAUGAUUAUAAAUAAUCUCAUCCGCACCCAAACCCUAACCCUAGCCGUCAGAGCCCCUCGCCGGAGAAGAUAGCCCAGUAGCUGGGGAGCCGACCGCCGCCGUACUGG
rnacentral:lncRNA from 1 species